rnacentral:sRNA from 1 species
GUCAUUCAGGUGGCCUACUCCUCCUCCCAAGGGCUCCUGACAGAAUGGCGGCAUCCUCCUCCCAGUCGUCGUUCACUUCAUUCGAAAAGCCUGCCGCACCUCCCGCGGCAGGCUUUUUCG